rnacentral:rRNA from 1 species
UGCAGAAUCCCGUGAACCAUCGAGUCUUUGAACGCAAGUUGCGCCCGAAGCCACUAGGCCGAGGGCACGCCUGCUUGGGCGUCA